UCAGUCGGCCGGGCGGCCGCUGCGCUUCGGCGCAGAGGAAAGUCCGGGCUCCACGGAGACACGGUGCCGGAUAACGUCCGGCGGGGGUGACCCCAGGGAAAGUGCCACAGAAAACAAACCGCCUCGGGUUCGC
rnacentral:RNase_P_RNA from 1 species